GCGUGGGGGAUGAAGGUCCUCGGAUUGUAAACCCCUGUUGAGAGGGACGAAGGCUGAUGGGCGAACAGUCCUGAAGCUUGACGGUACCUCUAUAGAAAGCCCCGGCUAACUCUGUGCCAGCAGCCGCGGUAAUACAGAGGGGGCAAGCGUUAUUCGGAAUCAUUGGGCGUAAAGGGCGCGUAGGCGGCCACGCAAGUCUCGGGUGAAAUCCCUCGGCUCAACCGAGGAACUGCCCUGGAAACUGCAUGGCUUGAGGCCGGGAGAGGGUGGUGGAAUUCCCAGUGUAGCGGUGAAAUGCGU
rnacentral:rRNA from 1 species